rnacentral:rRNA from 1 species
GACGAACGCUGGCGGCGUGCUUAACACAUGCAAGUCGAGCGGUAAGGCCCUUUUGGGGGUACACGAGCGGCGAACGGGUGAGUAACACGUGGGUGACCUGCCCUCAGCUCUGGGAUAAGCCUGGGAAACUGGGUCUAAUACUGGAUAUGACCUUUCCUCGCAUGGGGUUGGGUGGAAAGUUUUUCGGCUGGGGAUGGGCCCGCGGCCUACCAGCUUGUUGGUGGGGUGAUGGCCUACCAAGGCGACGACGGGAGCCGGCCUGAGAGGGCGACCGGCCACACCUGGGACUGAGACACGGCCCAGACUCCUACGGGAGGCAGCAGUGGGGAAUAUUGCGCAAGUGGCGGAAGCCUGACGCAGCGACG